GACGAACGCUGGCGGCGUGCUUAACACAUGCAAGUCGAACGGUAAGGCCCUUCGGGGUACACGAGUGGCGAACGGGUGAGUAACACGUGGGUGAUCUGCCCUGCACUUCGGGAUAAGCCUGGGAAACUGGGUCUAAUACCGGAUAGGACCCUGGGAUGCAUGUCCUGGGGUGGAAAGCUUUUGCGGUGUGGGAUGGGCCCGCGGCCUAUCAGCUUGUUGGUGGGGUGAUGGCCUACCAAGGCGACGACGGGUAGCCGGCCUGAGAGGGUGACCGGCGACGAUGGGACUGGGAUACGGCCCAGACGGCUACGGGAGGCAGCAGGGGGGAAUAUUGCACAAUGGGCGCAAGCCUGAUGCAGCGACGCCGGGUGAGGGAUGACGGCCUUCGGGUUGUAAACCUCUUUCAGCACCGACGAAGCGCAAGUGACGGUAGGUGCAGAAGAAGGACCGGCCAACUACGUGCCAGCCGCCGCGGUAA
rnacentral:rRNA from 1 species